rnacentral:rRNA from 1 species
ACCUCUAUCUAGGCACUACUUGUAGAGGACAUUGAAGUUUGUAGGUUGGUCCUCUCAACGUUUCUGCUCAGACUUCACUGUGAGGUUACUCUAGCCAUGAAUGAGAAGGAAGCUGUUGAUUUGUUCCUUGAGGGGAAAAAGUUUGACAUUGUUUUGUUCGAUAAGGAUAUGCCCGUCAUGACUGGUCCAGAGGCAAUUGUGAAGAUCCGUGCUAUGGGGGAAACUGAUGUGAAGAUUGUUGGGGUUUCUGCCGAUAAUCAUGCCAUGGAGGCGUUCAUGAGUGCUGGUGCUGAUUUAUUUGUGCCCAAACCAAUAAGGAUGGAGGCCCUCGGUCCUAUCAUUUAG